rnacentral:tRNA from 2 species
GGCGUGGUGGCAGAGCGGUUGAAUGCACCGGUCUUGAAAACCGGCGGGCCCGGAAGGGUCUCGUGAGUUCGAAUCUCACCCACGCCG